rnacentral:rRNA from 1 species
GAUGAACGCUGGCGGCGUGCCUAAUACAUGCAAGUCGAGCGAACAGACGAGGAGCUUGCUCCUCUGACGUUAGCGGCGGACGGGUGAGUAACACGUGGAUAACCUACCUAUAAGACUGGGAUACCUUCGGGAAACCGGAGCUAAUACCGGAUAAUAUAUUGAACCGCAUGGUUCAAUAGUGAAAGACGGUUUUGCUGUCACUUAUAGAUGGAUCCGCGCCGCAUUAGCUAGUUGGUAAGGUAACGGCUUACCAAGGCGACGAUGCGUAGCCGACCUGAGAGGGUGAGCGGCCACACUGGAACUGAGACACGGUCCAGAGUACUACGGGAGGCAGCAGUAGGGAAUCUUCCGCAAUGGGCGAAAGCCUGACGGAGCAACGCCGCGUGAGUGAUGAAGGUCUUCGGAUCGUAAAACUCUGUUAUUAGGGAAGAACAAAUGUGUAAGUAACUAUGCACGUCUUGACGGUACCUAAUCAGAAAGCCACGGCUAACUACGUG